rnacentral:rRNA from 1 species
ACGAAGGGUGCAAGCGUUAAUCGGAAUUGCUGGGCGUAAAGGGUGCGUAGGCGGUUCGUUAAGUCUGUCGUGAAAUCCCCGGGCUCAACCUGGGAAUGGCGAUGGAUACUGGCGAGCUAGAGUGUGUCAGAGGAUGGUGGAAUUCCCGGUGUAGCGGUGAAAUGCGUAGAGAUCGGGAGGAACACCAGUGGCGAAAGCGGCACCCUGGCAUUGGCCUGACGCUGAGGUGCGAAAGCGUGGGGAGCAAACGG